GCGGGCGUAGCUCAGUCGGCUAGAGCGUCAGCCUUCCAAGCUGAGGGUCGAGGGUUCGAGUCCCUUCACCCGCUCCA
rnacentral:tRNA from 3 species